UGAGGAAUAUUGGUCAAUGGUCGAGAGCCUGAACCAGCCAAGUCGCGUGAAGGAAGACAGUCCUAAGGAUUGUAAACUUCUUUUAUACGGGAAUAACGGGCGAUACGAGUAUUGCAUUGAAUGUACCGUAAGAAUAAGCAUCGGCUAACUCCGUGCCAGCAGCCGCGGUAAUACGGAGGAUGCGAGCGUUAUCCGGAUUUAUUGGGUUUAAAGGGUGCGUAGGUUGUUCGGUAAGUCAGCGGUGAAACCUGAGCGCUCAACGUUCAGCCUGCCGUUGAAACUGCCGGGCUUGAGUUCAGUGGCGGCAGGCGGAAUUCGUGGUGUAGCGGUGAAAUGCAUAGAUAUCACGAGGAACUCCGAUUGCGAAGGCAGCUUGCCAUACUGCGACUGACACUGAAGCACGAAGGCGUGGGUAUCAAACAGG
rnacentral:rRNA from 1 species